rnacentral:rRNA from 1 species
AGAGUUUGAUCAUGGCUCAGGAUGAACGCUAGCUACAGGCUUAACACAUGCAAGCCGAGCGGAACAGCUUCGGCAGUUAGCGGCAGACGGGUGAGUAACACGUAUCCAACCUCCCCCUUACUCGGGUAUAGCCUCGGGAAACUGAGAGUAAUCCCCGAUGUGGUGUACGCUUCGCAUGUAAUGCACACCAAAGAUUAAUCGGUAAGGGAUGGGGAUGCGUUCCAUUAGCUAGUAGGCGGGGUAACGGCCCACCUAGGCGAUGAUGGAUAGGGGUUCUGAGAGGAAGGUCCCCCACAUUGGAACUGCGACACGGUCCAAACUCCUACGGGAGGCAGCAGUGAGGAAUAUUGGUCAAUGGCCGAGAGGCUGAACCAGCCAAGUAGCGUGCAGGAAUGACGGCCCUACGGGUUGUAAACUGCUUUUGUGCGGGAAUAACGGUCGACACGUGUGUUGAUGUGCAUGUACCGUACGAAUAAGGAUCGGCUAACUCCGUGCCAGCAGCCGC